UCGGAUAUGGUGUAACGGCUAACAUUGCCGCCUCUCAUAUAUGAUCGAAACGCGGCAGCUCGGGGUUCGAUUCCCCGUAUCCGAG